AUGGACGCCGGAGCUCCCCUGCUCAGAUUCGCCGCGCUGCUUCCCUGCUCUCCCGCGCCGGAGCUCCCCUGCUCAGCUUCGCCGUGCUGCUCUCCCGCGCGUCCUCCUCCGUCGCUCCCUCCUGCCUCGCGCAGCUCCCCUGCCCCCCUUGCCUGCCUCCCAAAUAUCCCCUCUUUCACCCCCAAAAUCGUUUCUUCUUCGUCCCGCUGCGUCCCCUGCUUGCGCGCGGCGACGACACGUCCUCCUCGUUGCCCCCGACACCGGAGGAGGCACGGGGCAAGCAACAGUAGCUCGUGCUGCGCCGGCGCGACCUCGGGUGCGCGUGGGCGUACGCGCGCCGGUCGCCGCCUCAACCGUGCGCCAGUCCGCGAAGGAGGAGGAAGGGGAUUUCGCCGCCAAGGCGCCCUGGGCAUGCUCCUCGAGUCCCUGCUCCUCGGCCCCCUCGUCACCUCCCUACUCAAGAAGCACAACAACAUGACGCAGAUGCGGCAGCGCACGGUGAUCCAGUUCUUUCAUUUAGUCAAGUUCUUUCAUUCAGUCAUGUUCUUUCAUUCAGUCAAAUUCAGUCAAGUUCUACUAAUCCCGCCGCAGGGUAAGACAGUGUGUGCCCUUUGA
rnacentral:rRNA from 1 species